rnacentral:rRNA from 1 species
GAUGAACGCUGGCGGCGUGCCUAAUACAUGCAAGUCGAGCGAACAGACGAGGAGCUUGCUCCUCUGACGUUAGCGGCAGACGGGUGAGUAACACGUGUAUAACCUACCUAUAAGACUGGGAUAACUUCGGGAAACCGGAGCUAAUACCGGAUAAUAUAUUGAACCGCAGGGUUGAAUAGUGAAAGACGGUUUUGCUGUCACUUAUCGAUGGAUCCCGGCCGCAUUAGCUAGUUGGUAAGGUAACGGCUUACCAAGGCGACUAUGCGUAGCCGACCUGAGAGAGUGGUCGGCCACACUGGAACUGAGACGCGGACCAUGCUCCUGCGGGAGGCAGCAGUAGGGAAUCUGACGCAGUGGGCGAAAGCCUUACGGAGCAACGCCGCGUGAGUGAUGAAGGUCUUCGGAUCGUGAAGCUCUGUUAUUAGGGAAGAACAACUGUGUAAGUAACUAUGCACGUCUUGACGGUACCUAAUCAGAAAGCCACGGCUAACUACGUG